rnacentral:lncRNA from 1 species
AAUUACCUUUGUAAAAUGAGAGGCCCAAGCACGGCGCCCCAACCCCCCGCCACACCCCCCCACCCCCUACCCCCCAGCUGUAACUGAGUGAAAUUAGAGGCUGUGCAUUGCAUCAUUCAGAUGCUGCCUGACCACUUGGACUCACAGUGCAGCCUAGGACUUCACUGACUGUUAUAAACUGAUAGCAUCCCCCUUCCAAAGAAGACCUUCCUAGUCCUGUAAGCACUGAUCCUAAGCUGCUUUUCCAAUGCUACUUUGCCAUUGGGUGAAGCAAAAUGUCAGAUAAGCUUACUAGCAAAUGUGCCUCUGAGCACAGCCCACUUCUGCAUCCCCAAGACGGCAUCCUUUGUGCUCUGCUGAUGGUGGAGAGAAUCAGCAACCCUCCUUUCCUGAGUGAGUACCUGGCAGUCAUCAAGAUCCUCAGAAAAGGAGAAGAAAAUGGAGAAACUUAGGAGAAGAAAGUAAAAGGUGACAGACAAGGAAAAUCGAGCUGUGAAAUGCCACAUUCAUCUGUCCUGGGUCAGGUCGUUGGUUUAUCUUUCUCCUCCCUGCUUCCUUCCACCCUCCCUCCCUCCUUCUGUCCCUCCCUCCCUCUCUCCCUGCUCCCUCCAGGCCACAGUCAUGACACGAUUAUAGCACUGCGAUGGUACCAGGUAGACAGACACUAAAGAUCAAUUUUCUCACUGAUACCGAUCUCCAAAUUUUAGGCAUAUGCCCCAAAUAUCCCCAUCUUUCAUUUAGCAGUGGGGACUUUCAGGACACAUAAAUUAGCUCAGCUUUUCACAAACGUUUUCAUAAUGAGCAAAGCAUCAAAGCCAAGCUUCUGCCAGAAUCAGAGAGAGAGAGCAAAUGAGCUUAACCCCCUAUUCCACAGCUUACUAGCUAUGUGCCCUUGGGCGAUUUCCUUUGUCUCUCUCAGUUUGCCUCAUCCGCAAAUGGGAAUCUUAACACUCUAUUACUUCUCUUCCAAAAUGACUUAGAUCAAUGGCAGGUUUUUAAAUUGAUGUGCAUAUGGAAUGUGUGGUAUUUGUUUUUGCCAGAUGAUAUUAUCAAUUAUAAGACCGAUCCCAAUUUCAGAAAUAUUAAAAUGUACCACAUGUCUAAAAAAUAGAGGAACUACGUAGCAUCUUCCUGGGCUUAAAUGAACCAAGGGCUGCAAAGCGAUUUGCACUGAGCUUGGCAUGUAGCAAGGGCUCCGUGAGUGAGGGCCGCUCUUACUAUUAUUCUCAGGAUAAUUAGGAAGGAUGUAAUUAUGACAUUACAAAAGUUAGGCCAUAUCUGUUAGGAAUUUACACAGUGAGCUUUGAAGCCAUGGAAACUCCUAAAUGAAACUUCCUGUGUUACCUGUUUCUGAGGACACUGCAAAAUGUCACCAAAGCCAGAACUAAGCUUUCGAAGGAAAUUGUUGAAUUUCAAAAUUUGUUUUUAUUCAUAGAUUAAUGCUCCACAUGCUGGGUUGCUGUAGUAGCACAUCAGUGGUAACAACUCUUAAAAUAUAUUUGCUUCCAUUUAAUUAAAGUCGGCCGUGAGGAAUGUAUUCACAAGUGUUGGCCAAGUGUGUGAUUCUUCUGGGGAGUCCUUCAGUCAUUGGCUUAAGUAAGAAGGGGUCUGUGCCACAGAAUCUUCUGGGGCCAGGCCAUCACUGAAAACACGUUUUCCACGACCCAGCCUCUGCAUUCUCUGCUGGCAAGCCCACAGACGCCGAAGACAGGGCUCAGAAACACAACGCAGCUGCCAAAUGGCUUCCCUUCCUCACUGCUUUAUGUUCCCGGGGCCAAAUGGGCCUCAGAACAGACCUGAAAAUCUGUGAGAUGGAAACCGGGAACUGAGCGGUCCCGUGCAGAAAAGAGGCUCCGAGUGUUUACACAACAUCCCCAGGACGUACUGCACUUUCCAGGGCGAGUGUCUUUCCAAAACGCCUGCAGACCCAGCCUGCGUCAGGCACAGCUCCAACUUUCCUGCAAAAAUCGCCUUGCAGGGCCCUUCAUCCUCCUCUCAGUUCAGAAAUGGGGCUGGAGAGUUUCACACACGCAGCCCAGAUAGGCACACGUGUGGGAUCUUGCUGUGUUGCAAUCUCAUGGGGGUAAAACGGCUGCUGAAAUUGGGUAGUCACGGACUUUGGAUUUUUAGAGAAUACCCAAUUCUAAUCCUAAUGGGAAUGAGGAUGACGAUGAUGAUGAUUCUGUGAAGUAGCGAGCUCCAUUUCCCUCACGGUUCAGACCGAAAACCAUCUUUCUUUCCAGAUACUGCAGUGGAACCCUAGGAAAUCAUGGUGUUUUGUGAAAAGCUCCUCAGUCUGUGGGAUGAACCUGGAGCUCCGACAAGGAUAGCUCCAGGCUUCUUUUCAAAUCCUCUGGAGAGGGAAUGUGUGCGAGAGGAAGUCGGGGGGAAGAGCAGAGACAGAAAGAUGUAAAUCACCGUCACUUCAUAAAACGGAGUUUUCUUGUAAUAUGCUUUGGUAAUGUUGAGCUGAAAAUAGAUUGACAAUCAAAAUGGGCUUAAUCUGAUAUUAAAGAAUUCUCUUAAAAUCCCCCAAACAAUUGAGAUUUUUUUUUCCCUUUGGUUUGUUUUGCGUUAGCUCUUCCAAGAGGCUGUGGAUGUAAAGAAAUAUAUUGACAUUAA